UACGUAGGAUGCAAGCGUUGUUCGGAAUUACUGGGCGUAAAGAGUACGUAGGCGGUUUGACAAGUCUGAAAUUAAAGACUGGGGCUUAACCUCAGGAAUGUAUCGGAAACUGUCAGACUAGAGGACAAUAGAGGAAGUCGGAAUUCUCAGUGUAGCGGUGAAAUGCGUAGAUAUUGGGAAGAACACCAGUGGCGAAAGCGGACUUCUGGGUUGUUACUGACGCUGAGGUACGAAAGCGUGGGGAGCAAACGGG
rnacentral:rRNA from 1 species